rnacentral:rRNA from 1 species
AUUGAACGCUGGCGGCAGGCCUAACACAUGCAAGUCGAGCGAGUGGCGGACGGGUGAGUAAUGUAUGGGGAUCUGCCCGAUGGAGGGGGAUAACUACUGGAAACGGUAGCUAAUACCGCAUACCAUCGGAUGUGCCCAGAUGGGAUUAGCUAGUAGGUGGGGUAAAGGCUCACCUAGGCGACGAUCUCUAGCUGGUCUGAGAGGAUGAUCAGCCACACUGGGACUGAGACACGGCCCAGACUCCUACGGGAGGCAGCAGUGGGGAAUAUUGCACAAUGGGCGCAAGCCUGAUGCAGCCAUGCCGCGUGUAUGAAGAAGGCCUUAGGGUUGUAAAGUACUUUCAGCGGGGAGGCGUUACCCGCAGAAGAAGCACCGGCUAACUCCGUGCCAGCAGCCGCGGUAAUUC